rnacentral:rRNA from 1 species
UACGUAGGGUGCAAGCGUUGUCCGGAAUUAUUGGGCGUAAAGAGCUCGUAGGCGGUCUGUCGCGUCUGCUGUGAAAACUCGGGGCUUAACCCCGGGCCUGCAGUGGGUACGGGCAGACUAGAGUUCGGUAGGGGAGACUGGAAUUCCUGGUGUAGCGGUGAAAUGCGCAGAUAUCAGGAGGAACACCGGUGGCGAAGGCAGGUCUCUGGGCCGAUACUGACGCUGAGGAGCGAAAGCGUGGGGAGCGAACAGG